rnacentral:misc_RNA from 1 species
GCUUUAUAUUGUUGAUUCUAGUAGGACUAAGGAUUUAAUCUAGUGGGUAUUUUCUUUUUAGUCUGCGGAUCUGGUCCGUCGUGUCCAGUAGUUGGGUGACUAGUGGGUUGUGGUGGUUGUUGACUCUUGUGUUAUAUCUGCUUCUGGACUUGUGUAUUUCAUCUUUGACUGUAGGUAUCUUGAGGUCUCGGUGAAUUGUUUCGUUGGUAACAUACCAGGGUGCAUUUAAUAGGGAUCUUAGCGUUUUCGAUUGGAAGCGUUGGAGUAUUUCAAUGUUGGAGUUACUUGCUGUUCCCCAUAAAUAGUAGGUGUCCGAGGACACUACCUUGCGGUAUGCCGGAUUCUAUUGGGAAUGUUGCGGAAGUGGCGCCUAGACAUUUAACUAUGAAUUGUCUGUUGGUUAGGUAGGAUUUUAAGAUGGAGUAGUAUGGGUGGGAUAGGAUUUUUUUAAGCUUGUAGAGUAGCCCUUCAUGCCAUACUUUAUCGAAUGCCUGUUGGAUAUCUAGGAAUACAGCUGAGCAGUAUUUUUUCUUUUCAAGGGUUUGGCUGAUCAUGUGGGUUAUGCGGUGGAUUUGCUCUCGUAUUGAGUGUUGUUUUCGGAAGCCGAAUUGGUGAUCUGGGAGAGUUUUCAAUUCUUCUAGGAGUGGAAGGAGACGAUUCGUGAGCAGCCUCUCGAAUAGUUUAGACAGGGUAGGUAAGAGACU